rnacentral:tmRNA from 1 species
GGGGGUGCACUGGUUUCGACUGGGGUAUGGUUGAGACAGGGAUUGCAGGUAGAGUGCCAAUCUCUCCAAAAAAUGGCAAACCUUUAACUGCCAACAACGCAGAUUACGCACUGGCUGCCUGAUUAGAGCAGUCACGGGUACCCGGGGUGCUGUUCCGAACACCGGAGUGCCUGUCACAAAUCGGGACUUACCUGGCUUUAGGGCUGCAUUCAGUCAGGGACACUUAAGCAGCCUCAGGCGAAAAGCGGCGGGCCGUCCAGCCAACUUUACGCUGAAAAAUUAAAGGACGGCUAAGCCUGUAGAGAUCCUUGAAUCGCGCUUCAGGACGCGGGUUCGAUUCCCGCCACCUCCA